AGUGUAUUUCAUUUAAAUAGAAUACUAAUUUGAUACGAAUAAGUUAAUUUUUAUUCAUAAUUUUAAUUUUGAAAACGUGUUCAUUCCGCCUGAAAAUUAAUUACUAUCUUGGACGCUCCCAAAAUCAUGAAACGAAGCUCAGUGCCGUCAACGCGAAUAUCAACAAACACAGCACAAACGAAAAACAGAAUGUGAAAAACAAGUUAGAACCAAUCAAUCAAAUCAAGAAAAACAUCAAAAUGGACUCAGAAUAACAUUUUGAUAAAUCGUGGUGAGAGUGUUCUACAAGUGGCUGACGAAACGGGCCUUCCACGGUCGACAGUUUACGGAAUCAAGAAAUAGCAAGAAAUAGCAUUGCGGUAUUGCAAGGCGUUGGUCAACUAAACUAUCCCCUGAUUUCGAGAUAAUAAUAGGAAAUAUAAAGGUAGAGAAACCAGAUGCCGAAAACGACACAACUAUCGUUAAGGAAGAAUAUGAUGUGAAACUUAAAAAUACGAAUGCAAUCACUCAGCCCAUGGCGCCGAAGAAAUUAACCAAGAACAUUCAUAAACUUAUCAAAAAAGCAUCAAAACACAAAUCUUAUUUACGAUAUGGAUUAAAGGAUGUUCAAGUGCGUCCGCGGAAUAAUGAAACAGUUUUUCACACUCUUGUUUACAAACAAAACACAAUACGUUUUUUAUAACCAAAUUGCCAUGCGAUACGGCCAUUUACAUUACAGACGUCUCUUCAUUGAAACGAAUGAUUUCAAUAGAUCUUGUUGAUCUUUUUUUUUUGUUUAAUCGGACUUUUUCAACGCAUGAAGACACAAGCACGGAUAAAAAAGCAGAUUCGUUGGAAAUUGGAGAUAUAAUCCCGGUUGAAGCAUCUUCACAUUCGUUUUUAGACCCGGUCCCACAACGAGUGGUGCAUUCUUUUGGAGCUUCUACAUAUCUACAAUAUCUCCCGUAACGGCUCGUGAUCUGCGUUUUUUAACGGAAUGUUUUAGAUGGACUAUUACUCCGGCACUUCCACCCUCAGUGGCCAGUGGCAUCCCAGAAAGACCGGUGUCGCGUCCCUGUACUGAGCCCAAAUCAUACGCUGAAACGCCAGAUAGUGUUGCUACCAGCUAAAGCUAAUGAUCGUUCGUUCAAUGGUGCUGCUGCUGCAGCUGCUACUGCCACUCCAGCCACAGUACUGUCCAAAUAUGAGGAUGACCAGUGUAUCGUACCAAAAAUUGACAGUCGCAGAAAAUUUUGAAACGGGAACAAGGUUUGAAGAAUCUUCAGGGAGAACUUCGCAACGAAGAAACUAUGUUGAUGUUAUUGAAGAAGUUGAAACAGUCUCAACACGUAAUGAUUAUGGAAAAUUGCAUCGUGACUUCAAGUAAUACAAACAUGAACAACCCUCGAGCUUCGAUACCAGUCCCCUAACGAAAGGGUUACUCAGUGCGGUCGCAUUUCCAGCUCAUUCGAAAAACAUAAUUCAUGGGUCACCUAUCAAUAUCGCGAAACCGCUUCAACGUUUACUUUUACUCCCGGGAGGUACUUAUUAUACUGCGACAUAUGUUACCUAUUGGAGCAAUCCGAACAGGGUCCAAUCUAAUCAUCACACCGUCAGUGACGAUAACUCCUACGAGCGCACCUUCGAAUAGUGUAAAACUCAAAGCUGGAGAAAACCUUGCUAUAGAUCCCACCGCUCAAACCCAAAAUGCACUUCAUUCCGAAUGGAUGCCACCGGAGGUGGCUGUUGGAUGAUAUACAAUGAUUCCGUGGAUCAGGCAAUGAGCUAUUUUAGAAGGGAACAAUACGACGUGCUUAUAGAAGAUUACUAUAAUAUGCUUUCCCCGGAGUUCCUUCCAGCUGUGGGGACAGAAGGUGGAUGUCGUCUUUUGCACAUCAAUUACAAUUUGUCGUUCGGAUUCUGUUUCUCCUUGCGGCACGAACACAUAUAUAUUUUGGUUCAACAACACAUGGUUCUAAAGGACAUCCGUGCAAGAACAUGCAAAGCAGGGAUUGUUAUAGUGAUACACUUUCUCAUUGGGAAGAGAAAUUCUGUGAGUGCGCGUGCGAGUGUGGUUGUAACGAGCGCGCACCGAUGAAGGGGCAAUCUUUUUAUUACGCGAUUCUCUUGAAAUUACGCAAUAUUUUCACGCAUUUUUUGUGAGCACAUCAGUUGCGUGAAAAAUAAUUCAGUUUACUUAUUAUUAUCAUCCUUCACUUACUAGAAGUGAUACUGAUAGCAACUGCAUGUGUAAUUACUGGAAAGGUUUGCCGACCAACAGACCUAUUAGUAAACUUGAGGUAUGGAAAGUAUCGUGUUUGGGCAUUGUGUACUUCGAGUUUGGUGUCGAUUUACCACCGCUCGUGCAGAAGCGACCAAGGUUACAGUAAAACCUUCCGGAGUAAAAGGUUCAUUGCACUGAUUCACAACAUCGUAUAUAACAAUGAACAAAUGUUGAUGGUUUAGAAAGGAUACCAAGAAGGAUAAGCUAUGCUCUUGAGUAACAUUGAAUAUGCUGAUGUGUAUGAACAUCCGGAUGAGGACGUUGAGGACCGGCAAAUGUUUUCCGAUACGGUUGAGAUGCGAGCGGGAAGAAUUAUUGCAGAAUUUAUUAGAAAAUUAAUUUGCUAUUUCGCAAAACCGAUGGGUCGGAAUAAGGUGAUCGAUGUAAAGUUCAGCGGGGAUGAUAGUGAAGAGAAAAAUCUAUAGACCAGAAAAAAGAGUUAGUGAAAAAAAAUGUUCAUUUAAGUACGUUAAACGUUUUUAAUUCGAGCAGUAACGACACUGCUUUGCUCAUUGAUAAAUAAUUGACCUGCUAUUUGGAUGAAUAAGUGUGAACAUACUAUUUCGUAAAUUUAUAUGUACAUAUUUAAUAGAAUUAUGUAUUUAAAAAGAAAACUUUAAACUUUUUUUAUAUAAACAUUUAUGUAUUUCAGUAUUUUGCGGAAAAUCGGAACAAUUAUCUGAAUAAAUAUUGAUCGUGCUGAUCUGAAUAUUCAUUUUCGACAUUCAAGAUUUUAUUUAUUCCGAGAGAUGAUUCUAGUUUAAUGAUUGAAAAAUCUAUAUUUAGUUGUUCGACAUUUUUCUACGUUACAAUGUCUAAAAGUAUUGUAUUAAAAUUCAUCAUCAUAGUUUUAUAUAAACGAUCAUAGUUUUAUGACUAUAUUAAUUAAGACGUACGUUGCUAUUUAUAAUUAAUCAGUUAGAAAAAAUCGUGCUUAUCGCGUCUAUAGUUCUUUAAAAUAGCUUAAACGAUUUCAUUGCUUUUUUUUAUACUUCAUUAAAGAGCUGCUGGUAUACUUGCGCUCUCAGUGGCCGAACGAGAAGAGAAUGGAUGGAGUUCAGACGGCUACAAACCACCCAGUGACUGUUUCCCCGACGGCGGAAAAAAUCAACUGAUUGGUCAUUGGCGGAGGCUAUGAUAAACUCAACAAUAUGGUAGGAUGAUCCCACCGACACCCGCCCGUGUUCGGAGUUACCGACGCGACUGACUUCGUGGGAACCAGAUUCAGAUGCCAAUUGUUCAGCAGAACAAUUAGAAAAAAAGGAGAAACAUAGAAAAAAGCCUUCUGCAUGCUCACACAAAAACCGAAAAAGGGUAGCAAACAUUCUAUGGUUUCAUUUGUGAAUAUGUUAUUUAGAGUAUAUCGAUAACCAAAUAGCCUUGAAGGGAUAGAGUCGCAUGGUGAAUAGACAAAUAACAUUUGAGAAAACAGACGCAUAUUAUUAUUCAUUCUUCAAGCUUGUUUUAUUUUCUGAACUGAAUGUUUACUGCACACUACUCGGUUUUCCCGACGAUUUUUAAGACCGAUUGGGUCACUGCACUGAACCUGAAACGAGAUGCGCAGCGCUAGGAAACCUGACGAGAAGGUAUUUUUACCAAACUUGUUGACGAACGUGUCUCCAGUAUAAUAAACCAUUCCGUAUCUGUGAGUAGAAGAGGAUGAUGAGUUAAAAAAUCGGUUCACGCUGCUUCGCGACUACUGUUACCAUUCACGACUGAAGAAGAGCCGAUCCAACUGGAAGGAGGUCAAAUACUUCGAUUACUUAAUUAAUGCAAAUUAAAUCCACGACAUUUUCAACCAUCUCCCAGAUGCCAGCUCCAAUUAGUGAUCCCCGAUAAUCGUUCGAUUAAUCGAUUAAUCGAAUACUUCCUACAGAAAUCGAUUAUUAAUCGAACGAAUACUGCACAACCAAUAAUCGAAGCGAACGAAUAAUUUACGUCGAUUAAUCGAUCCAAACUCAGAGAGAAAAAACGUACGGCCGCUGCAGUUUUAUCCUGAAAACAAAUCAUUAUCUUUGACGCUCCCCUAAGUUCGUAAACAAAGCUCAAUGCCGUCAACGUGAAUUGAGCUUCGUUUACGCCUUUAGGGGUGAGUAAAAGAUAAUAAUUGAUUUUCAGGCGGAAUGAACACUUUUUUGAUUCCAUAUGGCUUUCUAGCAAAUGAGAAAUAUUAAUCUAACUAAUUAUUUCUCUCAUUGUGGCGAUUAAUCGAUUAAUCGAUUAUUUGGGCCGAUUAAUCGUAUCGAAUAACAAACUGCUGAAAACUAUUCGAUUAGCUGAUGAACGAUUAAUUUCAAAAAUCGGGGAUCACUAGCUCCAAUUACGACUCCAAUUACUGCUCGCGUUGGUUGUCACCUGUACCAAAUUCCAUUACAUGGCCGUCGUUUCACGCUGUAAAUAGAUCAUCGUUAAUCGAGAAUUGAAGAAAUAUUUUUUGUUGAUAGUUCCUCACGCUUUAUUUUGUUUUCUGAAUAGAACAAAACGAAAUAGUUGAAAAAGUUUCGCACAUAUGUUCGUAUGCUCAUAUGUAUUAGUGACCCCCUUCCGCAUUUUUUGUAAACAAUCCCCUCUCACACUCCUCGCUACUCACCACUCCCCUCGCUAACUUACUGAAGAUA